GAUGAACGCUGGCGGCGUGCCUAAUACAUGCAAGUCGAGCGAACAGAUGAGGAGCUUGCUCCUCUGACGUUAGCGGCGGACGGGUGAGUAACACGUGGAUAACCUACCUAUAAGACUGGGAUAACUUCGGGAAACCGGAGCUAAUACCGGAUAAUAUAUUGAACCGCAUGGUUCAAUAGUGAAAGACGGUUUUGCUGUCACUUAUAGAUGGAUCCGCGCCGCAUUAGCUAGUUGGUAAGGUAACGGCUUACCAAGGCAACGAUGCGUAGCCGACCUGAGAGGGUGAUCGGCCACACUGGAACUGAGACACGGUCCAGACUCCUACGGGAGGCAGCAGUAGGGAAUCUCCGCAAAGGGCGAAAGCCUGACGGAGCAACGCCGCGUGAGUGAUGAAGGUCUUCGGAUCGUAAAACUCUGUUAUUAGGGAAGAACAAAUGUGUAAGUAACUAUGCACGUCUUGACGGUACCUAAUCAGAAAGCCACGGCUAACUACGUG
rnacentral:rRNA from 1 species